rnacentral:lncRNA from 1 species
GAUAUAAAGGAAAGAAGAAGGAAGAGUUCUCUAAUGCAAACAAUGUUCGAAAUGAAGACACUGGUGCACAUAGGUAUCAAGGAGAAGCUAUUGCCUAUAAUGCUCAAACUGAAAAUAUACAUCCAAAUGUGUGUGCAGGGUACAAGACUGAAUGUUCAACUGGAAAAGGAGAUCUUCAAAGAGCACCAUACAUGACUGAGAACCAACAAGACAAGAUCAAAAUGAUGCUUGACAAUGAUAAGCAACCAGAUUACAUGGCUCAUAUGGCAGGUAUUGACUUCAAACCUUUAUCCACAGUAAAGCAGAUAAAGUGGAUAAUAGACACAGGAGCUACAAAUCAUAUGACUGCUAGUUUAGAUACAAUGACUGGCAUAGAACAUGUAAGAACACAUCAUAAAAGGAAGGUCCAUUUGCCUAAUGGUGAAGUGACAAUGGUGUCUCACACAGGAAAGUGCAGUUUGGGAGAUAUAGGAGUACUUGAAAAUGUUCUGUACAUACCUGAUUUUAAGUAUAAUCUUUUAUCAGUAUCAAAGAUAACUAAGGAGCUCAAUUGUUUUGUCUCUUUUUAUCCUGGUUUCUGCUUGUUCCAGGACCUUACCAGUGGGAUCUUGAAGGGGAUUGGUAAGGAGAGUGCUGGUUUAUACAUAAUGUUCUC